GGUUCUUAAUCAAAUCACCAUCCAUGCUUCUCAACUAAAAGCUGCUUCAUGAUACACAAAUUUGUCAUAAUUUACUAAUGAAUUGCCAAUAUAUACAGGUAUCUCCGAGUUGGUCAACAUUGAGGGGCAAACUUUGAUGCUAAGAUGAGGAGGUCUUCCUUGGAGAGAAAGCAGGAGAAUUUUGAAGCCCUCAUCAAAUGUGUUUCUAAGAGAUGGGCUUCAGUCAAGAAAAGCUAGUCGCUUCAUCUACCAUCUAAAAAUGUUUUCUGCGUUGAAAGUCAUUUGAAGUGGAGAAAACUAGCGUUUUUGAUCAUCUUUAUAUAGAUGAUUGGUUCUGUAAUUGAGGAAGAGGAGAAUAAUAAUCAUCUUGCUUACUAGCUAUCAAAUGGUUCUAAUUUGUUGUGCCUAUUGCAACAUAGUCUGAAGGUAGCUAGUGCUGUUGGGGUACUCCAAACCAGAAACCUAACACUCCUACUCCAAAUCGGAAACCUGAUGCUAUCAAAUGAGUUUCUGCUCCUCAUAAUUUGUGGACCAAGUGGAGGCAAAAUACCCUGCUUUACUUGCAGAGCUUAUGUGGAAAAGAUACAUGGAAUUAUUCGUGAUAAUGUGAAAAAGGAUAUAUUACCCUUGAUAUCAUUAUGUAUCCAGGUUUAUUUUUCUUGUUUACUUUUUGUUACAUACUCCACAAGUAAGUUUAUUUGUUCAUGACAAGGUUUAGAACAAAUUCUUUGUAAUGGAAUUGAUCAAAUAUCAAACUUAUUAAAUGUUUUCUUUUUAGUCUAAGGUGUGUGAGGGACAAAGGCAUAUCAAAGAAAACAUUACUUACAAAACUUAGUAUUAUUAGAUUUGUAUAGAGUUCAUAAUGAUAUACGAUUGAAGCUACUACCAGAUAGAUGGGAUCAUGUCUUAUUGUAUAUAAAUUAGUUUUUAUUGUUUGUAGAAGCAAAAUUGCUAUACUAGUAAAUUUAAAAUUUUGGACUUUUAGAUUCUUCCACCGAUAUUUAUGUUGAUCUUGAGGCUCCUAGAGCAGCAAGAGGUAGUUGCAUUCAUCAUUAGGGUUUCACCCACAAUCCAACCUGGCAAGCAAUUAUUGAAAGACUCAUAAUCUACUUAAUACAUUGCAAGAAAAUUAUGUAUGUUAUCUUGUUAGAAUAUAGUGAAAUUUCUUUAUUUUGCUCCAUUCAAAAAUGUAUUCUAACCAUUUAUCUUUGAUUUUUAGGUACCUCUUAUUUUAAUAGAGAGAGAUGUUCACAUAAAUUUUUUCAUUCCUAAACGUACAAAUUUUCUAUAGUUUGCUUCUUCGUUGUGAGUGUUGCUCAUUUAGCAAUGGGUGAAUACAAUGAAAGUUGGUCUUGUUGAAGUUGAGGUGUGGUGUAAAAAAAUAAAGCUUGAGGUUCUCAGUAUUUUACCGAAUUGGCACUCAGUACUGAUGACAAGUACAACACUUAUCCAUAGAUGUACCAGGUUAUUUAUGGUGUCGCUUGGAGCAUCCUGUCUGCUGGUCCCCAC